rnacentral:rRNA from 1 species
GAUGAACGCUGGCGGCGUGCUUAACACAUGCAAGUCGAACGAAGCACCUUGAUUUGAUUCUUCGGAUGAAGAUCUUGGUGACUGAGCGGCGACGGGUGAAGUACGCGUGGUAACUGCCUCAUACAGGGGGAUAACAGUUAGAAAUGACUGCUAAUACCGCAUAAGACCACAGCACCGCAUGGUGCAGGGGCAAAAACUCCGGUGGUAUGAGAUGGACCCGCGUCUGAUUAGGUAGUUGGUGGGGUAACGGCCUACCAAGCCGACGAUCAGUAGCCGACCUGAGAGGGUGACCGGCCACAUUGGGACUGAGACACGGCCCAA